rnacentral:rRNA from 1 species
GGCUGUCGUCAGCUCGUGUCGUGAGAUGUUGGGUUAAGUCCCGCAACGAGCGCAACCCACGUCUUUAGUUGCCAGCAUUAAGUUGGGCACUCUAGAGAGACUGCCGGUGAUAAACCGGAGGAAGGUGUGGAUGACGUCAAGUCAUCAUGCCCCUUACAUCCUGGGCUACACACGUACUACAAUGCUACGGACAAAGGGCAGCAAACUCGCGAGAGCUAGCAAAUCCCAUAAACCGUGGCUCAGUUCAGAUCGUAGGCUGCAACUCGCCUACGUGAAGGAGGAAUCGCUAGUAAUCGCAGGUCAGCAUACUGCGGUGAAUACGUUCCCGGGCCUUGUACACACCGCCCGUCACACCAUGGAAGUCGGCCACGCCCGAAGUCGUUACUCCAACCCGCAAGGGAGGAGGAUGCCGAAGGUGGGGCUGAUGACUGGGGUGAAGUCGUAACAAGGUAGCCGUACCGGAAGGUGCGGCUGGAUCACCUCCUAA